GAUGAAGAACGUAGCGAAAUGCGAUAAGUAAUGUGAAUUGCAGAAUUCCGUGAAUCAUCGAAUCUUUGAACGCACAUUGCGCCCCCUGGCAUUCCGGGGGGCAUGUCUGUCCGAGCGUCAUUUCUGCCCUCCAGCCCGGCUGGGUGUUGGGCGCUGUCCCCCCGGGGACACGCCCCAAAGGCAGUGGCGGCGCCGCGUCGGGUCCUCGAGCGUAUGGGGCUUUGUCACCCGCUCGGGACGGACUCGUCGGCGCUGGUCUUCCUCCAGGCGACCCUUCGGGGCUCGUCUUCCUUCGGUUGACCUCGGAUCAGGUAGGGUUACCCGCUGAACUUAAGCAUAUCAAUAAGCGGAGGA
rnacentral:misc_RNA from 1 species